rnacentral:rRNA from 1 species
UGGGGAAUAUUGCGCAAUGAGGGCAACCCUGACGCAGCAAUACCGCGUGAGUGAAGAAGGUUUUCGGAUCGUAAAGCUCUGUUAUUGGGGAAGAAAAAAGACGGUACCCAAGAAGAAAGUCCCGGCUAACUACGUGCCAGCAGCCGCGGUAAUACGUAGGGGACAAGCGUUGUCCGGAUUUACUGGGCGUAAAGGGCACGCAGGCGGUUUUUUAAGUCAGAUGUGAAAGGUACCGGCUCAACCGGUGACAUGCAUUUGAAACUGAAAGACUUGAGUAUCGGAGAGGCAAGUGGAAUUCCUAGUGUAGCGGUGAAAUGCGUAGAUAUUAGGAGGAACACCGGUGGCGAAGGCGGCUUGCUGGACAAAUACUGACGCUGAGGUGCGAAAGCGUGGGGAGCAAACAG